rnacentral:tRNA from 1 species
ACUUAAAUAGCUUAACAAAGAGCGUGAUAUUGAAGAUAUCAAGGUAAUUUUAAUUUUUAAGUA